UAAAAUCCUAGACGAGCUUUGCAACUUUUUUUUUGUUGUUCAAAAUGUAUUAAUUAACAGCACAGUAAUUUAACCUGCAGCCAUAUUGUCUUUCCUUAGAAAUAUCCCAGGUUAUACCCAUACCAGAAUAUAUACAUCUCAUGAGAUUAAAUGGACCUACAUUUAAACAAACUGGAUGAACUAUAGUGCCAGGACAUUGUAAUACCUCUGAUGCUUUUAAGUAUUUCAUUUUAUGUAACUCUUAGUGUUUUUUUUAUUUUUUCGUUUGUAUUUAUCCUUCCAGUUAAAUCUCUAGGGAAAAAAAAAAAACCCGCUAAGCAAUGGGAUGAGAAUGACUUCAGGCAAUGUAAAGUUUAAUUCCUAACUGUUAGAAAUGAAUGUAAGACAUUUGCAGAGGCUUAUGCUGCCUGUCAAUUGCUUUUCUCCUUUUGCAUCUUUCCUGUUCACACAAUCACACACUACCCACAUUAAGUAAACUAAUAAAUUCAAUCAUUAUGGAUUUCUCCUAUCAGUGACAGACAUUCAUAAAGGUAGCUGGGCAGAGACCAGCCCCAUUCACUGUACAUUUAAUACUUUCUCCAAUAGUGGUUAUCAGGAUUACAAUUGGAGUUGGUGUGCAUUAAUGAUAUACCCAUGAAGAGCAAAUACCACCGUUUAGAAUGAAAUUACUCAAUAGUAAGGUUCAUGGCCACUAUUUAUGUCUUUUUUUUUUUUUUUUUUUGAGUAGCAUCAAAAAAUGCA